GACGAACGCUGGCGGCGUGGAUUAGGCAUGCAAGUCGAACGCGAAAGGACUGCUUCGGUGGUUCGAGUAGAGUGGCGAACGGGUGAGUAACGCGUAGGUAAUCUGCCUUUAAGUGGGGGAUAGCCUCGGGAAACCGGGGGUAAUACCGCACGAAUCCGGAGUAAUCUGGAUAAAGAUGGCCUCUGACAUAAGCUGUUGCUUAGAGAUGAGCCUGCGUCCUAUUAGCUAGUUGGUGGGGUAAGAGCUCACCAAGGCGAUGAUAGGUAGGCGGCCUUAACGGGUGGUCGCCCACACUGGGAUUGAGAUACGGCCCAGACUCCUACGGGAGGCAGCAGUCGAGAAUCGUCUACAAUGGUCGAAAGACUGAUAGUGCGACGCCGCGUGAACGAAGAAUCCCUUCGGGGUGUAAAGUUCUUUUCUGUGUGAGCAAUGCGGGCAAGAUGAAUAGUUUUGUCUGAGAGA
rnacentral:rRNA from 1 species